rnacentral:lncRNA from 1 species
UAAAAUGCAAAUCUGCCAAACUUUACCAGGAGGUUCGCGUAAGAUCUUUUGCAGAUCUACGUGGGCCGCGACAGAGUUGCAGACAAAAGCAUUGAAUUUGGUCAAAAUUUGAAGUUUAGAUGGGUUUUAAUGGCUGGUUUUGGAUGCUAUGGGCUCAAAUCUGAUGGUAUUCCAUAUUCCCAUGGUUUUUAAAACCAUGAGCCCUAGUGGAGAGCCAAGAUCAAAGCUCGAAAAGUGAGAAACGAUCCUAACGGUUUACCGAAUCCUAUAUAAACCCAUUCUUUCACUUCAUUUCUACACACACUUGAUUCAAAUGCUCUAAGUUGGAGUCUAAGAACUUCAUACCUGAGUAAUUUGAUCAAGUUCUUCCUAGCUUGGACUCUUUGUAAGUAUUCUUUCGUGCUUUUAUGCAUUUUUAAGCACGAAAGUCAAACUGUGUUUGACUUUCUGCUUUGACCAGGUUAUGGUCAAUACGAAGUUCGUUUGAACUUCGCAACGUGAGCGUAAUCACGAUGGUUAUAGUCCCUAGUGGCUAUACCUACUGAUUACCACGUUAACUAGGCGUAGUGACGAGUCAUAGUUUCGGCCAAAUUACGUAUUCAUGCGUAUUUUGUAACCAAACUACUCUUGGGUAUCAAAACCCUUUGUUUUGAUAUCAAAACCUUUUUUCUAACUUAACUAAACAUGUUUUAACAUGUUUAGCUCUUCACUUUUAGGUUAGUGCUUGUGUAGAGUCGUAAGUCAAGCGGUCUAAACAACUGCUUAGACUUUCGAACUAGACCCGUUUGGUCGAUCCUUAGGAUCCGACCAAGCAUGUUUAGUGACCAUAGUUUUAUAGGGAAUAACCUUCCGAGGUUAUAUCUUAUGGUCACUUAGGUUUAAUUAGUUGUAUGAUAGGUAGUUUAUAUGCCUUAGGUAAAUGACCAAAAUGCCCUUUUCAUGCAUAAUUGAACUUUAAGCAUAUGUAACCUAAACUUUUUUCACAAACUGAUUAUGCAACAUAUUUAAACAUGUUCAGGCAUAUAAUACUUGUCAUAGGACUAGUUAGACGUCUCGAACGCGCAUUUGCGCGAACGACGCGUUAAAUUAGUGCAAGCUACCUUAAUGGGUCGUAAUGGGUCGAAAGCACUUAGGUUAGGGUCCGAUUUAGAAUGGAGGCUUUGUUAAACCAUAUCACAUGAGUUCCAACACUCAUUUGGUUUACAAGACCUCAUUCUGUCUGAUCUUCCGAUUUACGUGUCGAUUAUUUGACUAGUGAUUCGAUUACUAGGUACUGCUUGAUUUCUCUUGUUUACUUGAGUUUAUUGAAGUUCUUUUGAUUGAGGAUACUUUGCACUUCAUGUGAGUACAUAGUUCCCCUGUUUUACUAUUUUUGAUUGUUUUGGGGUGAUUCAUAUGUGUUAAAUGAUUUCGAUGUUUUAACGAUAGUUUUCGAAAACUAAUAAAAUGGUUUAUAUUAAUUUAAUAACGAUUUCGAUAAAGUGAACAAACUUGUUGGUUGUAGUUACAUAACGAAUGACAUUAUUAGCAUUGAUCAAGCCGACCAGUAUUAGGUUAUGGUACCAUAGGAUCUGACAAAUCCCGUUAUCAGACUACACCCAUGGUUAUGUGUGGGGGUUGUGGGUAACGACUGAAUCUGAUGAUUGUUAACUUACCCUAUGGUGGUUUGUUAAUGCAAGAAGCGAGAUAGUCGAGUCACGAAGGUUUGGAUGUUAUUAGCGAGACGACCAAAAAAAGUAGUUUUCACAAUUAAAACGAGUUAAACGAUUUGAAACGACUUAAACGAGAUAAACGAUUUGAUUACGAUUGGUUUUGGGUUGUGAUUAGAUAAUGGGAUGGGUGUAGCAUGAUAAAAGCAUGGUAGAUACGUCGCUGGUACAUCUUAUAUAUAAGUGCUUUUAUCAUAUUACAUUUUGUGUCGUUAUUUAGUUCAAUGGGGAAACGAUUUUUGAAACAAUGUCACACAACGAGGUGAUGUUGCGUGAUGUUGAUUUGCUAGGAUGA